AUUGAACGCUGGCGGCAGGCCUAACACAUGCAAGUCGAGCGAGCGGCGGACGGGUGAGUAAUGUAUGGGGACUGCCCGAUAGAGGGGGAUAACUACUGGAAACGGUAGGUAAUACCGCAUACUAUCGGAUAACCCAUAUGGGAUUAGCUAGUAGGUGAGGUAAUGGCUCACCUAGGCGACGAUCCCUAGCUGGGCUGAGAGGAUGAUCAGCCACACUGGGACUGAGACAAGGCCCAGACUCCUACGGAGGCAGCAGUGGGGAAUAUUGCACAAGGGGCGCAAGCCUGAUGGAGCCAUGCCGCGUGUAUGAAGAAGGCUUUAGGGUUGUAAAGUACUUUCAGUCGGGAGGCGUUACCGACAGAAGAAGCACCGGCUAACUCCGUGCCAGCAGCCGCGGUAAUAC
rnacentral:rRNA from 1 species